rnacentral:lncRNA from 1 species
CAUGAUGAUGAUGAUGCAUGUGGAUCACCACCAGAUACAACAUCAUAUGGUCUAUGUGUAUUAGAAAGAUGUGGUGGACUAGGAGUAGAGUGGGGAGAUUGGAUAUUUGUAGGUAUUUGAGAGGUGGGAGCAUGAAUUGUAGACAUUUGUGGACUUGGAGUAGAGAGGAAAGGUGGGAAAUUUGUAAAUGUUUGAGAUAUGGGAUGAUGUUUCUUUUGCCUUGUAGGUUGUGGAAGUUGGAUAUUUGAAGGUGUGUUAGAUGUAAGAUGAUGUGUAGGUUUCCUUGUAGAGUGGGGUUGUUGGGUAUUUGUAGGUAUUUGAGAAGUGGGAGCAUGGACAGUAGACAUUUGUGGACUUGAAGUAGAGAGGAAAGGUGGGAAGUUUGUAUGUGUUUGAGAUAUGGGAUGAUGUGUAGGUUGCUUUGUAUAUAUGGAUUGUUGGAUAUUUGAAGGUGUUUUAGAUGUAAGAUGAUGUGUAGGUUUCAUUGUAGAGUGGGGUUGUUGGAUAUUUGUAGGUAUUUGAGAAGUGGGAGCAUGGACAGUAGACAUUUGUGGACUUGAAGUAGAGAGGAAAGGUGGGAAGUUAGUAUGUGUUUGAGAUAUGGGAUGAUGUGUAGGUUGCUUUGUAGAUAGGGAUUGUUGGGUGUCUGCAGGCCUAGGUGCUUGUAAUCUAGAAGAAUGUGACAAAGUAGUUUUAUGCUUACCUCCCUUAUUUCCCUUAACUUUGUUGAUGCUUAUACCAGCACCUCUUCCAUUGCUCCUUGUAAUAUCAUUGUCUUCCAUCUAUCUAUAUACAUAUAAAACUAGGUAAUUAACUACUGUACAUAAAAAAAAAGAAGUUAAAAGGCGCACAAAAUUAGACAUGGGCAUAAACAAGUUAAAAGGCACACAAAAUUAAAACAUAAGCACAAUUAGCAUUUUCCAUUAAUAUGCAUAAGAAUCACACAUAAGGAUUUGUUGAAAAAAUUUAACAUAACAAUAGAAAAAAGACUAGUCAUAUUGUUCUCCUUCUUUUUCCUCUUCUAAAUUCAUCAUCUUCUUCUUCUUCCACUUCUAUUUCAUCUUCUACUUCUACUUCUACUUCUUCAUAAUCCUCCUCCUCCUCCUCCUCCUCCUCCUCAAACUCGUCAUAUUGUUCUUCUAUCUCUAAAUCAAGUUGGUCCAAGACAGAGAUUGGUACUACUUCUUCUUCUACACCAUUAGUGUCAACAAUGCAUUGUUGAAAAUCAUCAUCUGAAACAAACACAUGCAUUUGUUGUUCAGCAUCAUCCUAGUAUGCAUGAGUUGUUUCGGGUACAUUUUUUUCCAAAGAUUGAAUUGUGCUGCGUGCUUUGGUUUUGAUGACACCGAGCCAACCCAAAUCAAAACCUUAACAUAUAGGCAUUCAAAUUGUGCAUACCCAAUUCAGUUAGCAUAGUUUACAACAUAAAAACAAGAGAAGGAGAAAAAAGAGUUUGGAACCUGUUUGCAGCAGCCAAGUGAGAUGAGCUAAGUGAGCAACGGCCCGAGCAAAGUGAAGGAUUUAGGAACCUGUUUGCAGCAGCAAAGUAAGAUUAGCAAUAAUCUGAUCGAAGUGACCUGUUGAUUGAAGGUUUUGGGAAUUAGAUUGAUGAUGUGAAGAUUUAGGGCAAAUGAAUUUGGAAAUUAGAGAGGGGAAAUUAGAUUAGGAACCGAUUGGGGGACCUGUUUGGGAGUUAGAUAGAUGAAGGAUGAAUGGAUUUUGGUAUGAGCGAUUGCUGGUUGAUGGGUGAAUGAGGAAAAACUUUAGAGUUUUGUUAUGUAUUUGUUUGUUAUAAUAAGAAUGAACGAUGCGAGGGAGAAAGUGGUGUUUUGUUAUUUAUAUAAUAAUGAAACCAUCGUAUCUGAAAAAAUCCAAGUUUUUUUUUUUUUUUUAUAACAAACUUUUUUUAUUGAGGGAUUUUAUAACAAACUUUUGUUACAUAUAAUAGUGAGAGUAGAAAUUAUAUAAAUAAGACUGUAAUGUUGUUAAAAAUUUAAGUGCAAAUUAGAAUAACAAAUCNUUUUAGAGUAUAAUAAGUAAUUCAUACAUUCAACGCUUUCAUAAUACCAAAAAGUAUAGUUUGGUUAUGGCUAAUUCAAGUAUCAAAGAGAUCGUGGUAUGCUUCUUGGUUCUUUUAGAUAUAACAUUGAUUUGCCUUUCUUGAAUAUUUGAAAUUGAUUCAUGUUAAGAUUAAAAUCAUUAUUAAGAAGUGAAUUGAUAACAUUCAUGAAGAAAAUAAAAAUUUCAUUCUUAUUAUAUGUAAAUUUGAUAAAAGAAAUACGAUUUGUAUUUCUAUUAACUUAUCAACAUUUUGUGGUAAUACUGUGAUAUUUUUUUGGUCAGUAUGUCAACAAAAUUGGACAAGAGAUGUUGUCUAAAAAAAAAAUCAGAGAAGACAAAGGUUUUGUCGAGGAGGCUUCUUAGUAUGACUGGGUCACAUCCUCCAAAUUGCAUAAAUAGGUGUGAUAAUUGUACUACAUGCAUACGUGUUAUUGUGCCAACGCAUCCACCACAGAGCGCUAGUUAUUAUCCGGAGUCAAUGAAAUGCAAAUGCGGCAACAAGUUAUACUCUCCACAAUAAAUUUUAAUUAUCUAUAUAUUUAAUGUAUUUUUAUGUGUUUAAAAUAAGUAAUGGAAGAAUAUUUAAUUAUCUAUAUAUUUAAUGUAUUUUUAUGUGUUUAAAAUAAGUAAUGGAAGAAUAUUCACGUUCAAGUUCAAUAUUAAAUAUUCUAUGAUAGUCUGUACAAUGAUACCUCACCGAGGGUAAUUAGUGUGAUUGGGAGAUUUUGUUUGUUGGAUAGUUUUCAAAAUGGCUCCAAUAAUAGUUCAGGAUUUAUGGAUGAAAUUGGUUGAAUAAGCGAUGGUAAACUUAUUGGAAGUAAAUAUUUUGAAGUUAAAGAAAAAUUAAUUAGAAGCAAUGAAAAUUUAAAAUAACAAGAACUAAAAUACAUAGAUCUAAAUGACUUGAAGUAAAAGUGCAUAUAGUAAAUGGACUUAAAAUUAAAUGACAAGUUAAGUGACUCAACAAAAAUCUAGACAUCUUAUAUAUGAAAUCACAGUAAAAAAUGAUAUUUUUCAAUUACUAAUCAUGGGAUGUAAUUAUGCUUUGAAUAGUAAAAACCUACACCACUAAGUAUAUAAGACCCAUAGUUAUAACUAAAUCUAGAUUCGGUAAUUGUUGUGAUGUUUUCUUUGUUAAUAAAUAAACACUCCCAUCAUAAUUUCCAUGUUGUAGAAAUAAAAUGUUUGUUAAAUAGUCAUUUUAAUUUCAAACUCAUUACUUUGAAUGGUAAAAUUGUUGAGUAAAUUAAUUAGACAAGUCUAAAAUAGAAGUGCAUAUGUUGUUUUCCACUACGUGCGAUUUAGUCUGUUUUAUCAUAAUUUUUUUAAGCAUUAUAAAUAAAUUAUAACAACACGUGCAAUGGAUAAUGCAGAAGAGCCAGCAACACCUUAUCUAAAUAAAAAGCAAAAACGACGGUUGAAACAACAACAACUCUGUCGAGCACCAUAUAGGACAUGUUCCAAGGGAUUCUUGUUUUCAUUGAGGUAUUUGUUUCUUCCUACAUUUACUGUGAAGGCAAUUGUUGUGCAAACAAGCUGGCCUCUAUGGGACAUUGAGACUCAGGGUAUUCAUAAUGAUGUCUUUAGGGACAAAUUUUGUUUGCCUAACUUUCACUUCCCUUAGAUUUUCUUUUUAUUAUAUCUUUUUAUUUUAUUUUUAUGGUUUUUGUUUGGUGCUCCUCUUGUAUAUAUUUUUCCUGUAUUUUAAUAAUUUUUUUUUAGAUAUGUUGAAUAAGAUAGGAGCCUCUCUAGAUGCCAAUGAAGGUUGGAUGUUGGUGUUUCCCCUUGUUUAGUGUCCUAUCUCUAGGCUUAUUACAAAAAGUUAAUUAAAAAUUUGUUUUAAUCUCACCCGUAUAAUUUAAACCAAGGGUUAUUAUUUAUUGAUAUCAUUCUCACAUAAUAAAAACAUUCUCACUUGAGUACAGAGUAGUAUGUGUGUAUAUAACAGUAAUAGUCAUAAAAAUAAUAAUAGUAAUAAUAUUAAUAAUUUGUUUGAAACUACCACCACUUCAUAUUUCCAAUUUCCAGUACUGAGUCCAAUACUCAGCCAAAUUUUCUUAUCUCACAAAACUGAAAUCAUUUCCCUUCCAAAAAUUGAAACUACUAGCUACAAUUUUCUCAUUUGAAACUCUGCCAAUUUUUAUGUAGACGCUUCAUCCCAUUCCAGUCUUGAGGUAAGGGUGAUUUCAUUGUUUGUUCUUCUAUUCUUUCUUCAAUCCUUUUAAUCUCAUUCUAAAUAAAGUCAUCCUUUUUGUUCUUCCACUUGUACUCUCCUCAUUGAAGAAUAAUUCUCGAAGUCUUGUUCCGACAAUUGGGUAGAAUUCUUUAAAUAUUAGGAAGGAAGGCACUUAAGGUAAGGGCACUUCCCCAUACAACUCAAAAUUAGACAUUGAAUUAGAAAUCUGUAAAGUAUUUAUAUGUUGUUUGUAUGCUUAAAGGAAAAUAAUAAGAAGAGAAAAUAAGACUUUAUGGAAGACCUCUUUUGUCAUGUGCAUGAUAAUGUGCUAUUAUUUUUUGUGUGAUUGCCUUAGUGGCGGGGAUUGCAUCUACCUUUAUUAUCGUGACAUAUGUAUUUGGUGUGCCUUUGUGGCGGGUUAAACUUAUUAUUCUUUGUGGUACCUAAGUGGCGGGUUUUAGUCUUGCAUUUUCAUGAUCAUGCAUGGUAUAUGCAUUUGUGUGGUGCCUUAGUGGCGAGAAUUGCAAUUAUAUUUUGUGUGAAUGUCUUAGUGGCGGAAAUUGCAAUUAUAUUCUGUGUGGAUUCCUUAAUGACAGGAAUUAUACCCAGAUCAUAUAGUUUUAGGAGCAUGCAUAUACAUGUGUAUCAUAAAGGUCUAUUAAGAUUUGUAUAGAAAGAUUGUGUCAUUUUUCUGUUCACGUGCACAUGAAAAUCAGAAGAAAAAUAAUAAUAACAAAGAAAUGAAAAGUUAAUCAUUAUAUAUACACACACAUAUAUAUACCCCUGUGCAUAGAGAUACAAAAGCAAGGUAAGAGUUAGUGUGGUGAGUAAUGUCUUAUUAUGACAAUUCUGAUACAUGACUUUCACAACUAGAAAACACGGAUUUAGCGACGGCCGUUUUCCGUCGCAAAAGCGUUAAAAUUCCGUAGCAAACGACUUCCUGACGAGUUUUGCGACGCUUCAAAAAUCCGUCGUAAUAAUGGGGGUCGGAGAAAUUGACCAACGGAAUAUCAACUCCGUCAUUGAUUGCGGCGUCAUAGACACGGUCGUAAACACCAAAAUUCCGUCGCUAAAUCCCCGCCAAAAUGGAUAUAUGUAAACCAGUUUUCCGUCACAAAAUACCGACGUUAAAAGUUUCCGUCACAAAUCACUAAGGGAAAAAACCGUUGCAAAUAACUGAGAGAAGAAUCCCCUCGCAAAAUAUCUGGGAAUUUGAAUAGCGUCGCUAUGAUAUCCGACGCUACAUUGCAAGACAAAAUUUUUGUGACUUUCGUAUUUUCCGUCACAAAUAAGUUUUUUUUUUUUUUUUCCCUUAAAAUUAGUUUAAAAAAUUUCUCAAUUAUUUCUCAAAACACUUUUGGAAUAUAAAACAAGGUGAUGAAAAAUCACAAGAUAAAAUACAUUAAUAUUUGAUGAAAAACCUUUUUGAUUGCGUUCAGAAGAAUCACACUACUUAUCUUUUGCAUCAAAAUAUAUUGAAAUAAUUACUAAAUAGUAUUAGAACAUUUCCUUUAAACUAAAAGUUAUAAUCAAAUUUUCAAAAUAAUAUGAUAAAUAAUCAAGUAGGUGGACACAAAUGUUAAUCCUAACUCGAACGAUGAGGUUGAUAANNNNNNNNNNNNNNNNNNNNNNNNNNNNNNNNNNNNNNNNNNNNNNNNNNNNNNNNNNNNNNNNNNNNNNNNNNNNNNNNNNNNNNNNNNNNNNNNNNNNNNNNNNNNNNNNNNNNNNNNNNNNNNNNNNNNNNNNNNNNNNNNNNNNNNNNNNNNNNNNNNNNNNNNNNNNNNNNNNNNNNNNNNNNNNNNNNNNNNNNNNNNNNNNNNNNNNNNNNNNNNNNNNNNNNNNNNNNNNNNNNNNNNNNNNNNNNNNNNNNNNNNNNNNNNNNNNNNNNNNNNNNNNNNNNNNNNNNNNNNNNNNNNNNNNNNNNNNNNNNNNNNNNNNNNNNNNNNNNNNNNNNNNNNNNNNNNNNNNNNNNNNNNNNNNNNNNNNNNNNNNNNNNNNNNNNNNNNNNNNNNNNNNNNNNNNNNNNNNNNNNNNNNNNNNNNNNNNNNNNNNNNNNNNNNNNNNNNNNNNNNNNNNNNNNNNNNNNNNNNNNNNNNNNNNNNNNNNNNNNNNNNNNNNNNNNNNNNNNNNNNNNNNNNNNNNNNNNNNNNNNNNNNNNNNNNNNNNNNNNNNNNNNNNNNNNNNNNNNNNNNNNNNNNNNNNNNNNNNNNNNNNNNNNNNNNNNNNNNNNNNNNNNNNNNNNNNNNNNNNNNNNNNNNNNNNNNNNNNNNNNNNNNNNNNNNNNNNNNNNNNNNNNNNNNNNNNNGUUUGUUGGAUAGUUUUCAAAAUGGCUCCAAUAAUAGUUCAGGAUUUAUGGAUGAAAUUGGUUGAAUAAGCGGUGGUAAAUUUAUUGGAAGUAAAUAUUUUGAAGUUAAAGAAUAAUUAUUAAAAGCAAUGAAAGUUUAAAAUAACAAGAACUAUACUACAAAGAUCUAAAGGACUUGAAGUAAAAGUGCAUAUAGUAAAUGGACUUAAAAUUAAAUGACAAGUUAAGUGACUCAACAAAAAUCUGGACAUCUUGUAUAUGAAAUUACGGUAGAAAAUUAUAUUUUUCAAUCACUAAUCAUGGAAUGUAAUUAUGCUUUGAAUAGUCAAAACGUAUACCACAAAGUAUAAGACCCAUAAUUUAGCUAUAUCUAUAUCUAGAUUUGGUAAUUGUUGUGAUGUUUUCUUUGUUAAUAAAUAAACAAUCCCAUCAUAAUUUUCAUGUUGUGGAAAUAAAAUGUUUGUUAAAUAGUCAUUUUGAUUUCAAACUCAUUACCUUGAAUGGUCAAAUUGUUGAGUAAAUUAAUUAGACAAGUCUAAAAUAGAAGUGCGUAUGUUGUUUUCCACUACGUGUGAUUUAGUAUGUUUUUUCAGAAUUUUUUAAAGAAUUAUAAAUAAAUUAUAACAACACGCGAAAUGGAUCAUGCAGAAGAGCAAAUAACACCUUAUCUAAAUAAAAAGCAAAAACAACGGUUGAAACAACAACUACUAUGUCGAGCACUAUACAGAACACGUUCCAAGAGUGAACCACCACUUGCCCAAUGAAUAUUUUUUAUUGAAACAUUAUAGGAAUGAUUCUCUUGUGCACUCAAUCUACGAAACAAGGGGCUUAAUUGUCUUCGUUUAGGUAUUUGUUUCUUCCUACUUUAACUGUGAAGGCAAUUGUUGUGCAAACAAGCUAGCCUGUAUGGGACAUUGAGUCUCAGGGUAUUCAUGAUGAUGUCUUUAGGGAUAAAUUUUGUUUGCCUAACUUUCACUUCCCUUAGAUUUUCUUCUUUUUAUUUUAUUUUUAUGGUUUUUGUUUGGUCCUCCUCUUGUAUAUAUUUUUUUUGUAUUUUUAUAAUUUUUUUUCUAGAUAGGUUGAAUAGGAUAGGAGUCUCUCUAGAUGCCAACUAAGGUGUGAUGUUAGUGUUUCCCUUUGUUCAAUGUCCUAUCUUCAGGCUUAUUACAAAAAGUUAACUAAAAAUUUGUUUUAAUCUCAACCGUAUAACUUAAACCAAGGGUUAUUAUUUAUUGAUAUCAUUCUCACCUAAUAAAAACAUUCUCACUUGAAUAUGGACUAGUAUGUGUGUAUACAACAAUAAUAGUCAUAAAAAUAAUAAUAGUAAUAAUAUUAAUAUUUUUUUUUGAAGAAGAAAUAAUAUUAAUAAUUAAUAAACAUACCAAAAAAAGUUUUUUCAUCAAAAGUAAAAAUAACAGCUUACCAUUUUAUAUAAUUUUAGAAUAGUUAAAACUAUAAUUAUCAUUAAGAAAAUAAAAAUAAAAAUUUAUUUAUUUUUUCUAAAAAAAGAUUAUGUUUUUCAUUUAGAUAUAAUAUAUAUACUCAGACAAGGUAAUGCUUUUGUCCUCAAACAAACAAACUAGCUAGUGGUGUUCUUGAUAGCAUCAUAAGUCGUUUUUUCUUCUUUUCACAAAGAAAAUGAGAAUUACCAAUAUGUCUAUGAUCAAUAUUUUUCAUGCCUUGUUUUUCUUGCUCUCAAUUUUCACCGUGACCUUCACCAGUAUUACUGCGUUGCCUGUUACCUGUAUAGGUAUACAAUUCUUUUAUUUAACAUUAUAUUAUCCCAUUACAUAUUUUUCAUUUAAUUAAAACCCUCGAAUACUUUACAUUGAAGAUACCAGGUGUCAUGUAUUUCUCAGAUCUGCUAUAGAUAAUCAGGUAUUGCUACUUAAUUUUUUUUCUUCAAAAUAUGUCUUAUUUUCACUCUUAUUAUAUGUAACAUCAAUAUUGUACUGCAUUUUAACUAAUUAAGCUACCUAGGUCUAACUUUGCAUUAAAUGAAAUUGUAUAUGGAGAUAUAGUCCAAAAAAUCUUCUCAAAAUAAUUAUAGUGAUAUUGUAAGUGUUUUAGAGUAUAAUAAGUAAUUCAUACAUUCAACGCUUUCAUAAUACGAAAAAGUAUAGUUUGGUUAUGGCUAAUUCAAGUAUCAAAGAGACCGUGUUAUGCUUAUUGGUUCUUUUACAUAUAACAUUGAUUUGCAUUUCAUGAAUAUUUGAAAUUGAUUCAUGUUACGAUUAAAAUCAUGAUUAAGAACUGAAUUCAUAACAUUCAUGAAGAAAAUAAAAAUUUCAUUCUUAUGAUAUGUAAAUUUGAUAAAAUAAAUAAGAUUUGUAUUUCUAUUAACUUAUCAAUAUUUUGUGGUAAUAUUGUCAUAUUUUUCUGUCAGUAUGUCAUCAAUAUUGGAAAAGAGAUGUUGUCUAAAAAAAAUCAGAGAAGACAAAGGUUUUGUCGAGGAGGCUUCUUAUUAUGACUGGGUCACAUCCUCCAAAUUGCAUAAAUAAGUGUGAUAAUUGUACUCCAUGCAUACCUGUUAUUAUGCCAACGCAUCCACCACAGAGCGCAGGUUAUUAUCCGACGUCAUGGAAAUGCAAAUGCGGCAACAAGUUAUACCCUCCAGAAUAAAUUUUAAUUAUCUAUACAUCUAAUGUAUUUUUUAUGUGUUUAAAAUAAAUAAGAGAAGAAUAUUCACAUUCAAGUUCAAUAUUAAAUAUUCUAUGAUAGUCUUUACAAUGAUUACUCACCGAGGGUAAUCAGUGCGAUUGAGAGAUUUUGUUUGUUGGAUAGUUUUCAAAAUGGCUCCAAUAAUAGUUCAAAAUUUAAGGAUGAAAUUGUUGAAUAAGUGAUGGUAAACUUAUUGGAAGUAAANCACUAAUAAGGACUCAAAUGAAAAGUACUUAAAUAUGCCCCACUAACUUUGCAUCAUUAAACAAAAAUAAUUUAUUAAUUAAAUUAUAAAUUACCUCAUAAUAUUUAAUUACAAUCCUUAAAAAAAAUUAUAAAAUAUUUAUUUAUUCGUAUGAACUUAAAUUUCUACCACAUUUGAUAAUAAUUUGAAAAUGGAAAAAUUAACAUUAUAAAUUUUACAUUGCUUGUUAAAAAAUAAUAAGAAUUAAAGAAAGGUUGGGUGGGUAGAAAAUGGUGCAAGUUGUCCAACUAUUCCUAUUUGUUUUUUCUUUUAUUUUAAUUUUUUUUUUUUAUAAUAGUCGUGUAACUGAUAUAAUUUUCUUUUUAAGGGUUUUUUAUAUACACAUUUUUGAAGUUUUUUUUAAUAUUAUUAUUUAUUUUAUUUUUAUAUUAUAAAUUAAUUAAAAUAACUGCCUUCAUCUUUUCCAUCAACAUUCAACACUAACACAAGAUUAAUUAGAAUUCAUCAUCAGCACUCUUAAAACUCAACCCCCAAAUGUGUACGUGGUUGUUGGUUGUUGAAGAUGAAGAUUUGUUGAUAAAUUUUUAUAAUGAAUACUAAUAUUGUAAUAUAUAAGUAAAAUAAAAAUAUAUUUUUCAAAUCAUUGUGCCAAGUCAGCGUCACAUCAAUGAAGUUGUUGGGGGACCAAAUAUAUCCGUUGACUUUCUUAAUAGAGGAUCAAAAUGUUGGUUUUUGAAAUAAGGGUAUUAAAACUUCAAAAAUAUGUAAAUAAGAAGACCAAAAAUACAUUUAAGCCAAAUUUAAAUUUGAAUAAAAAAUAAGUAAAAAUGAAGGAAAAAGAUGCAAAUUAGUGGGGUCAUGUGUUUGUUAGUGGAAGAAAAGGAAAGAUUUUCAACAAAAAAAAAAACCUAAAAUAACUUAGUACUAAUAAAAAACAAUUAAAAGAAAUAACAAUUGAGUCAGCAUGGCCUGGUGGUAAGUUUUCUUGAUUGCACCUCCAAGGUCGCGGGUUGAAGUCUCAUCUUACCCGUAAGUUUUAAUUAAUUCACAUUUUUCAUCAUUUAAUAAAAAAAGACGAAAUUCUCUUUGAGACGGCAUCCAAGGACGUCGCAAACCAUUAAGGGAAUCUGCGACGGAAUAUAUAACGGAAUAGUUAUCGAUGGAAUAAAAACCUAGCUAAAUCCCUCACAAAACUACGUAAUGUCACGUUUUUGACGGAAUUUAUGACGGAUAUGUAGCGACGACAGAGUCCCUCGUAAAAUCCGUCGCUAGAGACAUCAAAAGAGCACCCCUCACAAAAUCCGUCACAGUUUGCGACAGAAAUUAAGCCCUCACAAAUUUCCGUCGCUAAAACCGAAUUUUCUAGUGUUUGGAGAUUUAAAUUAAGUGGGUUUGCUACCUUUUGAUUUAUGUUCUUGCUUAAGGCCAUAUAAAUAAUGUAAGGUAAAAUUUUCUUGUAACUGAUAUGUUAUUUCUUUUAUCCUCUAAAGUUAUAUGAAAAUUUAAUUUGGCAACUUAUUUUAUCCAAUCUAAUUUUUGACAGAAGGAUGAUAUAUGUUUAUUUUCUAACUUUUAAUUCUUGUUUAGUUUAGUUUUGUUGUGGUUGGAAGCUGAUCCCCUUACACCAACACUUUUAGGUACACAAGAAGAUGUGUAAGAUGCAUGGUUGAUGCUUGUUCGCGAACGGGGGAAAUCACUUUGGGUUUUCGUCAUCUAUUUUGAAAUAAGGAUUUUAUGGUUCUUUAAUUGUUGCUUUAAACUAUUUAGUAUGUUUAGAAAUGCGGAGACAUGUUAUCUUCUGCUAGGAACUUUAAACAAGUUUCACUUUUGUUCUUUUGAAGCUGAUACAUUUUUUUUCCAUUUUCAUCUAUUAAUAAAUUAGUUAUUUGAAAUACAUUAACAUAGGAAAUUUGGAAUUGUUUUAUAAAUCGUUUUAAAAAAAAAAAAAAUCCGGGAUCUUACACCACCUUUGCAACUUCAUGGUAUACUCAUGGAUUGACAAAUUCCUAUUUAGAAGGUUGUAACUUCUUAACUGCGUCAGUCUCUACUCCUGUUAUAUCUCUUUUUGAUUUGUUAAAAAAAAAAUUGUGUUUUGUCUAUGAGUUUAUAGAGAAUAAAGUGAGUCAAAUGAGUUGGAGAUUUUUGAGUAAUUAAUUUACCAAAAAUUAGACUUAAUUAAAAAACACAAUAACAUUUAAGAAAUUCUAAUAAUCAAACACAUAUUUUGUUAAUUCAACAUAAUAUAUUAGAGUUUUCUAUAGUUAAAUCCCACCAAAGACACAAAGUGAAGAAAUUUAAAAUAAUAGGGAUUGAUUAAAAAUAUUGCAUGAAAAUGAACAACAAUCAGAAAUUUAAAUUUAAUAUAAAAAGUAAACAUAUACUCUUAUAUUGAUCAUCUCAUCUAUAUGGGUCUCAACAUCUACUAUUGCAUGUAAUGUGGAACUUUAAAUCAUAAUUGACACAUUAACAUAUCUUUCUCAAGUUUGAGACUCUAAGCAUAUGUGAUUUGAUGACAUAACCAAAUAAGGUCAGUUAGAGGCAUAACAUGGUUAAACAUGGAUUGAUGGUGAUUUCAUGGAGAGAAAGGUUUAUAAUUCCAACUUUCACGAAAAGAGAGAAAUGAAAUUAGAAAAAGAAAGAAUAUGAAAAUGUAAUUUGAAAAUGAGAGAAAUGAUAGAGAAAAAAGUAGUGAGUGUUUUGUGGGUGGAAGUAUUGAAAAUAGAGGGAGUUAUUGAUAAUUUUAUGGUUUAGUUGAAGGAUUUUGAGAUUUACAAGUGAUUAUUCUACCCAGAAAAAUAAACUCAAUAAAAAAAUGUCAGAUAAUUUUAAAAUAUAAAAAAAAACACAAAAGUGAAGGUAUUAAAAAUAACAGAGGUUGGAUAAAAACAUUUGCAUGAAAAUGAAUGACUCCCAAAAACUUAUAUUAAACAAGAGAAAUCCAAAAGUUAACAAAACAAAAUGAUUCAUCACGAUGUUCGGAGUUAUUAGAGUGCCUAAAAUGGGUUUGAGCAUCACAUUUGACCAAGAGAAAGCCCACACGUGAAAUUCACACUACGUCUAAACUCAAAAUAUUAAGACUUUGAGUAUAUUAGUCAUCUCACUUAUAUGUUGUUCAAUAUCCACUCUUACCUAUAAUGUAGAAAUUUAAAUCACACAUGAUAGAUUGGUUAAAAGAAAAGAAUUAUGUGUUUUUUCAAGAAUGGAGUUAGUUGUUGAUAAUGUUUUGAGUUUGUUGAAGGGGUUGGAGAUUUUUAGAUAAUUAAUUUACUAAAAAAUUAGAUUUAAUUUAAAAAAAUGCCACAACAUUUAAAAAAAAAAACUAACAAACAUGUAAUUUUUGAACUCGGGUGAGAAAAGUAAUAGCCCACUCCAAAUUAUAAAACAAAUAAAUAAAAUCCACCAAAAACCUAAUAUUAGGUUCCGAUCGUAAGAGCAGCAGAGAGAGAAGCUAGCGGCGGCAACGCAGCAACACAGGUAGGUAUUGAGCUCUUGAAUUGAAUCUUAUCUUAUUAUUAUUAUAAUAUAAUAAUAAUAAUCUCUAUCUCUAUUAAUCAAUUUCAUGUGAUAGUGUUUACGUGUAUUGUAAGAUAGGGUUUUGUUUCAACAGGAGAAAAUUUCAUACAAUUUUUUGAUUUUGAAAGAAAGAUGGAGGUCCUCACUCUCUCAGAUUUUCGUAACAUGGUUGAAGAUAUUAAUGCUUCAAAACUAUAUAAAAAAAAAAUUGUUGAAACUAAAGCCGUUCACUGAAUUAGAAAAUUCUUCUGUCAUUCAACUUGGAGAGUAUAAAUGGUAUGCAAAUUUCUUAAUUUUCUAUUUCUUAAUUUCUCUUAAUUUAUGAGAAAUGAAAUUUUGAAACCCAUGUUCUGUUAUUCAACAAAAAACAAUGGUGUCAAACUCUACCUCAAAUUUUUUGUUUGCUAAUUAACUAAUAUGAUUUUUCAAUAUUUGCAGCUUCUGUGCUUUCAUGAAAAAAAGUGAUCAAAAGGACCAAAUGUUUUGGGAAGAAGAAGAUGUAAUUAAGGAAGCCUUGGUGGAGCACUUUUUUGUGGUUGGUGUUGUGACAUCUCCUUUGCUAAUGGACAUAUUAUACAAUGGUUGUAAAUCAAUAGAUGCUAACAAUGCUACGGCUAAGUUUGUCAGAAUCANUCGCUUAUUAACUGCUGCUUUGUCCUUCCAUUUACUAUCUUCCCAAUUUUGUUCCAAUUUUUCACGCAAUAGAGCAGGGAUCCAUUCGCCUUUGUCCAUUCCUCUUCGUACCCGAUACAUUGUAUUUUGGUACCCAUCAGAUGUCUUAUGAUGAUAAGUCUUCUUUAUGUCUUGAUCAUUCUCAGGAAGCCACUUAUAUAUCCUCUGCAAUACAAGCAAUGUAAUUAAUAUAGGAUAAACUGGACAUCACACUAGGAGCUUUGCUCUGGAACUUGUAACUUUUUCGUGAGUUAUUAAUAUUCACCACCAUUCUCUUGUUUCUAUUGAUUUAUUCUGUUUUAUUAGCUCUGUUCUAUCAGAUAUGUUCAUUAAAAUUCCCUCUUUUCACUUUUGAAAUUGUUUUUUCUCCAACUGUCGUUGACCCAGCAACAGUUAACCACCGCCGGACACUAUUAAAGUCAGUUGAACAAUUAGAAAAGUACCGACAAUUAGAAAAGAAGUACCGACGACAGUUGAAAAAUUAGGGUUGUAUAUAUGUUAAUUGGUCUAACAUUUCAUUUUAUAAUUUUGAUAAGAGACUAGUAACAGAUUCCAAUCCAUACCCUCCAAAGUUGGGAGGGAGCCAAAAAUGAUGGUAGGCAGUGCAGUGGAAUAGAAUAUAUAUACCAGCAAUUCCAAAUAAAAAAUGGACUAAGAUAACUUCAACCGACAAUUCCAAAUAACAAAUGGAUUGAGCGACAAAUCUAACAACGAGGACGAUAAACAUAAGUUGGAGGAAGAGAAGGACAGUACCUGAAACUCGUUAUACCACAAGUCCGCAAGAGCCGUGUCAUUUUUCAUUAACUCUCCAUAAGUUGCCCAAGUCCCUUGAAACAAACGUUUCAUAAUCUUUGUAAUGUCACGUGGGGGCUUAACAGCAGGCUCAAACCUAUAAAAAUAAAAUUAAACAAGUAGUAAAAUACAAGGAUACAAGUUAUUAUAGAAUUAAACGGAAAAUCUUAUAAAAAAUCUUACGUUAACUGUGGUCCCGGACGGAUCCAUAUACGCCUAUCAGUAGGAUCUGUACUCCCAGCUAUCGGAUACGAAUCAUCACAUGAUGAUGAUGAUGCAUGUGGAUCACCACCAGAUACAACAUCAUAUGGUCUAUGUGUAUUAGAAAGAUGUGGUGGACUAGGAGUAGAGUGGGGAGAUUGGAUAUUUGUAGGUAUUUGAGAGGUGGGAGCAUGAAUUGUAGACAUUUGUGGACUUGGAGUAGAGAGGAAAGGUGGGAAAUUUGUAAAUGUUUGAGAUAUGGGAUGAUGUUUCGGUUGCCUUGUAGGUUGUGGAAGUUGGAUAUUUGAAGGUGUGUUAGAUGUAAGAUGAUGUGUAGGUUUCCUUGUAGAGUGGGGUUGUUGGGUAUUUGUAGGUAUUUGAGAAGUGGGAGCAUGGACAGUAGACAUUUGUGGACUUGAAGUAGAGAGGAAAGGUGGGAAGUUUGUAUGUGUUUGAGAUAUGGGAUGAUGUGUAGGCUGCUUUGUAGAUAGGGAUUGUUGGAUAUUUGAAGGUGUUUUAGAUGUAAGAUGAUGUGUAGGUUUCCUUGUAGAGUGGGGUUGUUGGGUAUUUGUAGGUAUUUGAGAAGUGGGAGCAUGGACAGUAGACAUUUGUGGACUUGAAGUAGAGAGGAAAGGUGGGAAGUUUGUAUGUGUUUGAGAUAUGGGAUGAUGUGUAGGCUGCUUUGUAGAUAGGGAUUGUUGGAUAUUUGAAGGUGUUUUAGAUGUAAGAUGAUGUGUAGGUUUCAUUGUAGAGUGGGGUUGUUGGGUAUUUGUAGGUAUUUGAGAAGUGGGAGCAUGGACAGUAGACAUUUGUGGACUUGAAGUAGAGAGGAAAGGUGGGAAGUUAGUAUGUGUUUGAGAUAUGGGAUGAUGUGUAGGUUGCUUUGUAGAUAGGGAUUGUUGGGUGUCUGCAGGCCUAGGUGCUUGUAAUCUAGAAGAAUGUGACAAAGUAGUUUUAUGCUUACCUCCCUUAUUUCCCUUAACUUUGUUGAUGCUUAUACCAGCACCUCUUCCACUGCCCCUUGUAAUAUCAUUGUCUUCCAUCUAUCUAUAUACAUAUAAAACUAGGUAAUUAACUACUGUACAUAAAAAAAAAAGUUAAAAGGCGCACAAAAUUAGACAUGGGCAUAAACAAGUUAAAAGGCACACAAAAUUAAAACAUAAGCACAAUUAGCAUUUUCCAUUAAUAUGCAUAAGAAUCACACAUAAGGAUUUGUUGAAAAAAUUUAACAUAACAAAAAGAAAAUCAAAAUUAUCUAUCCAAAAUCUGUUCUCCCUAAUUUACAAAAAAAAAAAAAAAAUUAACCAUGAAGCAAACAACACAAAAAGGGGAUUCAACUGUAAAAGACAGACCAAAAAAUCUUCACUAACUAAAACAUAUAAAUCUAUAAAACAACCCAAAUCAAAACCUUAACAUAUAGGCAUUCAAAUUGUGCAUACCCAAUUCAGUUAGCAUAGUUUACAACAUAAAAACAAGAGAAGGAGAAAAAAGAGUUUGGAAC